rnacentral:rRNA from 1 species
UGGGGANUNUUGCGCAAUGGGGGGAACCCUGACGCAGCCAUGCCGCGUGAAUGAAGAAGGCCUUAGGGUUGUAAAGUUCUUUCGGUAUUGAGGAAGGUUGAUGUGUUAAUAGCACAUCAAAUUGACGUUAAAUACAGAAGAAGCACCGGCUAACUCCGUGCCAGCAGCCGCGGUAAUACGGAGGGUGCGAGCGUUAAUCGGAAUAACUGGGCGUAAAGGGCACGCAGGCGGUUAUUUAAGUGAGGUGUGAAAGCCCCGGGCUUAACCUGGGAAUUGCAUUUCAGACUGGGUAACUAGAGUACUUUAGGGAGGGGUAGAAUUCCACGUGUAGCGGUGAAAUGCGUAGAGAUGUGGAGGAAUACCGAAGGCGAAGGCAGCCCCUUGGGAAUGUACUGACGCUCAUGUGCGAAAGCGUGGGGAGCAAACAGGAUUAGAUNCCCUGGUAGUCCACGCUGUAAACGCUGUCGAUUUGGGGGUUGGGGUUUAACUCUGGCGCCCGUAGCUNACGUGAUAAAUCGACCGCCUGGGGAGUACGGCCGCAAGGUUA